GACGAACGCUGGCGGCGUGCUUAACACAUGCAAGUCGAGCGAUGAAAUUCCUUCGGGAAUGGAUUAGCGGCGGACGGGUGAGUAACACGUGGGUAACCUGCCUCAUAGAGGGGAAUAGCCUUCCGAAAGGAAGAUUAAUACCGCAUAAGAUUGUAGUUUCGCAUGAAACAGCAAUUAAAGGAGUAAUCCGCUAUGAGAUGGACCCGCGUCGCAUUAGCUAGUUGGUGAGGUAACGGCUCACCAAGGCGACGAUGCGUAGCCGAGCUGAGAGGGGGAUCGGCCACAUUGGGACUGAGACACGGCCCAGAGUCCUACGGGAGGCAGCAGUGGGGAAUAUUGCACAAUGGGGGAAACCCUGAUGCAGCAACGCCGCGUGAGUGAUGACGGUCUUCGGAUUGUAAAACUCUGUCUUCAGGGACGAUAAUGACGGUACCUGAGGAGGAAGCCACGGCUAACUACGUGCCAGCAGCCGCAGUAAGAC
rnacentral:rRNA from 1 species